UACGGAGGAUGCGAGCGUUAUCCGGAUUUAUUGGAUUUAAAGGGUGCGUAGGCGGGAUGCCAAGUCAGCGGUAAAAAUGCGGUGCUCAGCGCCGUCGAGCCGUUGAAACUGGCGUUCUUGAGUGGGCGAGAAGUAUGCGGAAUGCGUGGUGUAGCGGUGAAAUGCAUAGAUAUCACGCAGAACUCCGAUUGCGAAGGCAGCAUACCGGCGCCCUACUGACGCUGAGGCACGAAAGCGUGGGUAUCGAACAGG
rnacentral:rRNA from 1 species